GGGGAAUUUUGGACAAUGGGCGCAAGCCUGAUCCAGCAAUGCCGCGUGAGUGAAGAAGGCCUUCGGGUUGUAAAGCUCUUUUGUCAGGGAAGAAACGGUUGGGGCUAAUAUCCUCGGCUAAUGACGGUACCUGAAGAAUAAGCACCGGCUAACUACGUGCCAGCAGCCGCGGUAAUACGUAGGGUGCAAGCGUUAAUCGGAAUUACUGGGCGUAAAGCGUGCGCAGGCGGCUAUGCAAGACAGAUGUGAAAUCCCCGGGCUCAACCUGGGAACUGCAUUUGUGACUGCAUGGCUAGAGUACGGUAGAGGGGGAUGGAAUUCCGCGUGUAGCAGUGAAAUGCGUAGAUAUGCGGAGGAACACCGAUGGCGAAGGCAAUCCCCUGGACCUGUACUGACGCUCAUGCACGAAAGCGUGGGGAGCAAA
rnacentral:rRNA from 1 species